UUUUUUUUUUUUUUUUUUUUGGUUAAAUCAUUGCGCUACAAUAUUAUUUGUCUACUGGAGGCAUGUAUAAACACUUCAUGGCUAGUUUGGGAGAUAAGAUUUGAGCAGAAAAGAAAAAAAAAAAAGGGAAGAAAAAGAUAGAUGUUUCCAAUGUUUGGGAGAUUUAGUGAGAUAGAAAAGAAAAGAAAUCAGCUGAUUUGGAAGAAGAAAAACAGCAGCUACGGUUAAAAAAUUUUUCCAUCCCAAAGAAAGCCGCGGAGAGCUUGCAAAAAAUUUUGAUAUUACUCAUUCCAUCCUUAAAAAUUAUGCAGAGACAAAUCCAGAAAUUAAUUGCGGAAAAUCUCUUCAACAACUCUUUGUGUGAUACGAAUAUUUUUCUUUCCAAGAUAUCAUUGAUCUCUUUUAUCCAAUGCCUUUGAAAAUUCGAACCGCCACUUCUCUCAGCUAUGGAAUGCAAUGCCAUGUGUCAUUUUUGCCCCUCUUCCUUUCAAGUAAAGAAUGUUGGCGUAUAAACUUGGUAAAACAAUUCCAUUCUAGAUUCUAAAACAAUCCCUUUUGUUUUUUCUUUGUCAAGACAAUAUAAUCUUCUGGAUUAGACAACAAAUUUGGGGAUCAAUCAACAAGACAUCACUUAGAUGAUCAGUUGGCAGCAACAAGCCAACAGGUACAUUAAGUUUUGUCCUGUUCGUAUCAUCGAUAUUUCAUUUGGCUCUUAUCCUUUAGCCUUUUUUUUCCCCCUCUUUUGGCCAUUAUUGUCAUUUCAUUUCUCUCCAUGUGAUAUGAUGCCACCACCAAAGUUGCUGGGGUGGGAGGUCAGGAAUCAAAUCUUGCCUCUCAUUAUUGGCCACAAAAAUGUGGCAAGCCAUUUUAAGUGGCUUCCAAACGAAUGUGCAGUGCACUCGUUUGGACUGGUAGGUGGUUCCAUCUCCUCCAAUUUUUUCUUGAUUUCUUCGGGUCUCUUCUUCAAAAUAUAGAAUAAAUGUAGGUCUAAAAAAAAAAAAAAGAAAGAAAGAUACGGUACCUCAAAACAUGCGUCAUAAUAAAGAAGUAAUACUACAAAAUUAGAACAAAGCCUCAGGUCGAGGCCCAUCAUUCAAGUAGGAAUGUAGGUUGUUGGGCUUUGUUCGUCAGUAGUUCUGUAAAUGGAUUCACCCCAUCUUUUUAGCGCACUUAAUCUGUGCAAUUCAGUUGAAUUGUCGUAUCAAAAAUGAACAAAGCCUCUUGCGUUUUCAGUUACUAUAGGAGAACUGGUAAUAGGGCAGCCCACGCAUUAGCCCAGCUAGCUAAGUUCUUGGAUUUCCCAAAUUUCUGGUCAACCACUCCUCAUUGUAUAUCAACACAACAAUUAUGUUGGCUGAUUUGAUUCAUGAACGAAAAGCUUGUUUAGUUUUGCUCUCUCUAUUUAAGGGGGGAAAAAAAAGAAAAAGAAGAAAAAUUAGACAAUUGGGUUCACAAGAGGUUUUUGGGCUUGUGAAUGAGAAAGGCAUCUCCUUCAGCCCGUUCGUUAAUUGUAAAACUCAAAAGUCAUCCAUCGGUACAAUAUAUAAAAUCAGAGGUGGCAAUGCAAACCCAGUCACAUUUUUCUAGUAUAAUAACUAUUGAUAGCCACCUUAACUGCUGUAAUUACCAAAUUACCGCACCUUAUAAAUCAAAGUUCUUUCAUUAAUUUGUCUAAAAUUGUAUUUAUGUGAAAAACAAAAUUCAUUUUAAUUGUUUUUAAAUUGCAUAUAUAUUAGGCGUGCCCUUAUUCGGACGAGAAAAAAUUAUGGAAGAGGACAAUUCAACAAAAACUUUACGACCACAACAUGAACAAGAUGAAUAUGAAUUAAAGACCCACCAAUCUCCCACUAAAAAAUAGGAGAAAAUAAUUUCUCCAAAUUCUUCAACACUUGGAUUGGAUGGAUCCCACACACAAGCACAAAUCAAAGGCAAUGGAUUUUUUCGCACACCCACAAAAGCAAUUUUUUUUUUUCCAAAAAAAAAAAAAAAAAAAAAAAAGGGGAAUGCAGCCUAACUAGAAGAAGUCCGGAUCCACAAUCAAAGCCCAAUCCAUAUAAACGGAAAAAGACCCAUCAAGACCAGCAUGGAGUAAAUCCCACGCGCCGCUGCGGCUGCGGCUGCGGCUGAUUUAGUGGACGCAUGAGAGGCCGCAAUGGCAGGCUUGGGCGGAGAAGGAAGAGGGUGGACGAUGACAGAAACCUUCAUCCCGUUGAAGCAGCCACCAGUCCCACAGAUGAAGUAGUACCUUUUAGCUUUGUUAAGGGGGAUAAAGUCCUUUCCGCUGCUCCAGUUGCCCACUGCCCCUUCGAUCGUACAGUUAUCGUAGCCUGUCUCGUUCACUUCAAAAACGUUGUACUGUGUCUUCUGAUACCUAAAUGCUGUCCCAUAUAUUGUAUAUAACCAAAAUUAAUCCAAAAGAAAACAUAACAUUAUUGCUGUUUACAAAUACAACGUGGAUCGUAUGAGAAAGAAUGUACGCGGUGGUGGAAAGUAGUAUAUGUACGUACAAAUGAGGUCUCCAACGUAGAAAGUUUGGUUGUUGGACCAGAGGGUGUAGUUGAUGCCAGGAUUCCAGCCUUGGUUGGCACCCACAAUGUGGUCGGUGGCGGAGACUCUGGUGGUCAGUAGGAGGAGGAGGAGGAGGAGGAGGGGGGUGGUGGUGGUGAUAAGGUGGAGCAGGGUUGAAGCUGCUGAGUUGGGCAUGAUUGGGGUUGAUGGUGGUUGGUUGGUUUGGUCGAAUUUGUUUUGGGAGGUGAUGACUGUAGUACUUGCAGCUCUUUUGACUGUGCUUGACUACUGCAGGUCCACUACUGACCACUGGCUAGUGGCUACCCUUUUUCUUUUUCAAGACUGCUAAGCUACUAAUUUGGGUUUGGCAGGAAGAAGCCAGCUUGUCAUAUAAAGUGCGGUGCCCCCGCAAAUUUGAGCCAGUUAAGGAAACAAACAACGGUUAUCUAACGGAUCCAAGAAAAUCCCGAACGGAUAGUAAAUACUAAUAAAUAGAAUGCUGGAGACUGCAGGGUACCCUUUCCUUUCUUUUAUUUAUCAGCAUCAUUUUUAUUAUUAUUAUUAUUUUUUUGUUCUUAGCAAGUCUAAUGAAGUUGAGGUCAUAUAUAUAUAUAUAUCACCAGAUCAGUUAAAGUAGAGGGUGUAAAAAAAGAACAUUUUAGCGCUGGUUAUGCUUAUACAUGGUAGUAACUGAAGAUGUAAGUUUUUUUUUUUUUUUUUUUUCAGAGACGAUAAAUCUAUUCCAUCCCACAGUAAGGAGGAGGGGGCGAAUCUAAGGAAAUUCAGGAAUAAUUCGGAAGAAACUAAACCACCAUCAAUCCAAACGGGUGCACAGCACGCCCCGCUCACUUAGGUGGUUUGGGCUGGUGGUUAACUGAAGAUGUAUAAGUUAGAAUCGAAAAAUCUCGCAACAAUUUGUUUUGGAGAAAUUGUUAUGUCAGAUUUUUUUUUUUUUUUUUUUUUAUCAAUCAUUUAACCAGCCCGAGAUUUGAAGGAUGGCUUUGUAGAUAUUUAAGACUAGUACAUACAAGUUGUGAAAUGGCUGGACUUGGCUGCACCGUACCAGGCCAGAAAUUGUGAUGUGGACCUUCCGGUAUUCUAAGUCUCAAGUUAAUUAAUUAAUAUGGCUGUGACUGUAUUCAUGUAAUGUAGCAGACGAGCCAGAGGACCUUCUCGAUGAGAUGGGACCAAUAUAUUUUCUCGGUGGAAGCACCCACUUGAACACUCACUAGUGAAAUGUUGGAGCACAAACAUCAAAUUCGGGGAUAUGGACCCCAAUGGUACGAGCGAGCAAAGCCUUAAAAGUCACGCUUGAAUCUCAUGCGCGCUUCAUUUCCUUCGGUUUAGUUUAUUGAUUCUCGCUAAUCGCUCUUCCCCAAUCCCAAUUAUCCACAGGCAACAUUCUGGACUUAGCGUGGAACGUUACGUUAAAGAAUCGCCCUGCGAAUUCCACCAUACUCAAGAUCUUGAUUUGGCGCGAAACGCUGAGUCGGUUCCAGUGAUUGCUAUCAAGAGCUUGCCAAACAAUGGGGAUCUACAAUUACAUGGAGUAAUCAGUGAACCAGGCCCUCAUAAAGUCUUGAUCCCGCAAAUAAACACACAGUUUCCUCCCCUCUCUCUCUCUAUGCGCGUGUUUGUGUGUGUGCUUAUUCUAUUGAAUCCAAAUUCUCCCGGCUUAACCAUUUAACGAACUAAAAUCACAUGGCCUGUUUAGAAUAUUACCACAUAAAUCCCUGCAAAACACUAGACCCUACAUCUGAUGAUUUCGAGUGAAAAUGGCAGAACAUUCCAACCUCUGAAUUGCUGAUAAAAUGGUGGCUUAUAUAGUUAAAGUUGCAAACUUGCAAUCACCAAUGAGCGACGUCUUUUGCAUUCAAGAUGCCAAUGUUCUCAAAGUGACUUUUAUGAGUAUAUCCUUGCCAUCUUACACUUCUUCUUUUUGAGUAUACCAGUCAUCAGGGGACUAGACCUCAGAGGCUUACAAGUUAUAACUGAGCUUCAAGUUGAAGCUCCGCUCUUUCCUGAAUUUCAUUCAUAGUCCAUCACUCCAUGAUACUGAAUAGCACAAGGCACACCAGAGACUCCAAAGAAUGCAAAAUGCAACAGCUCACCUGGGCACAGAUUGACUCGCAAUGCUGCCCAUGGAACCAGCCCAAGCACAGCUCCUCCAUAAAUAUAGGAAGAGGAGAAAAAUAUAUAACAAUCUUCCUAGUUUAGCCAAUCUCCAAAAUCAAUAAUAUGCUUUCAGCAGACCACCCAAUGCAGACAUCAAAUAUAAAUUUUCCAUGCUAAAAUCCAUGCGCUGACCCAACGAGUCAUUGAUCGCCAAAAUAUAUGCAUUUACCAAAGCCACAAGAAGAGCAAAGGAAUCUCAACCUCGAGUUAUUUUAUUCUUGCUUGAAGUUUUAGUACCUCUUCUAUUUUGCAUAGCAAUAUUUCUCCCAUGAAAUGAGGAUUUGCCUUCCUCAAUGUGUUUUAUGGUUCUCCUACGGUCUCCUUCAAGAUGCCUGUCCUUCCUUGGUUCUUUGAAAAGUUUCUCAAGCUUCGGAUCCCUAGCAAAUCCUCUAGAUCUCCUCUCAUUGUAAAAUUCUCUAGCCUUGACCAACAAUCCACAUUUAGCUAACCCUUCAACCAGAACUCUGUAAUGUGCUAAGUCAGGCAAUAUCUCAUAGUGCCUCAUUUCCAACCAUACCUUCAGAGCACUUUCAGGUUGCUUCAAUUCAAAAAAUUUUCCCAGAAUUUGGAGAAAGGUAUUCCCGUUUGGACCAAGACCGGCUUUUCUCAUAUGAUUAAGAACUUCAAAAGCUCCUUCUAAACUUGCACCAGUAAGAAAUGCAUGGUAUGUAUCAAUAGUUGGACUGACAUUGUCCUCUAUCAUCAUAGCCAGUACCAUUCUUGCCUCCUCUAGUUUCAUAUCUCCACAAAGAGGGAUUAUGAUGUUGUUGUAUGUGGUAGAAUCAGGAUAUAGACCUGCUUCUUUCAUUUUAUUGAGAAUGGUAAGAGAUUCCUUCAAGCAGUCCUCAGAAGCCAGAACAUAUGCUAAAGAAUUAUACACCUCAAUGCCAGGUUGAAAACCCCUUUUCUUCAUCUCGUCACACAGUCUGAGCGAGUCAAAUAGAUUUCUAACUUUCGCAAAACAGGAAAUCAAGUGCGUAUAGGACAUCCCAUUAGGCAAAAUACAGCAUUUUGACAUUUCUCUCCACACUCUCUUGGCUUCAACUAUAUCAACUGCUAUAUUGCACCAUCCAUUGAGAAUUAUGUUAAAGCCCUCAGUCACCAGAGGGAAGAACUUUUUGUUGAGAAACAUGAAUUCUUCAGCCUCCUCGAUGUUUCCAUGCUUGCAGAGAAUGUUAAGAAAUGUGAAGAAUGCAUCCUGAUCAGGCAACAAGCAGAACUUCUCCAUAGUUUCAAAUGUUUUCACAGCCUUGUCAAAUUGAUUUGUUGCUGCAUACCUGGUGAAUUGUAAUACAAGAACAACACCAAAAUAAAAAAGUUAAAAUCAAUUAUACUGAUACUGUAAAAGACUCUAAAAGAAGUCGUUUUGACUGUUAGAUACAGGCAGCUUUGGCCUUCAGUGACUGGAUUACUAUUGUACAACAGAUGGAUUUUGAUUCUCAAUAAACUCUAGAAGGAACAUGUCUACUAAAUCUUUUGAACAAAACAAGUGCGACAGAAACAGAGCGACAAAAUCCGUCAGUAAAAUCUGUAAUCACACAUGCAAAAAGGAAUGCACUGCGCCACUGGCAAUCGGCAUGAACAUGCUAGUAGCUAAACAAGAUAUAUGUUGGGAGUUUCUUCUGCAAUGAAUUUCUUCUACAGGGAGCGGUGGGAGGACGAUGGAACCGGUUUUCACAUUUAGGGACAUCAGACUUGUACUCCAAAUUAAUAUUGCAAAUGUAAUUUAUAUGCUACCAAAUUCAACAUUAGCUGAAAGAUGUCAUUUGAAGUUUGACAGGUAGUGAGUGAAUUACAUCUCCUAGUUGGAAUACCUGCUCUUUCUUACGGACGAUCUACAUUAAUCAAGGAGAUACAACCUGCAUAAUGACAGCGAUCAAGACUCUGCAUUUACCUAUCAAUCAUGAUGAGCAAUGCUUCUUUAGUAUCCACUGAAUUUUUAUGAAGGUCAUGAAUCAAGGACCAAGCAGUACCAAACUUUGUAUGGUUCCCCAGAACCCAUAUCAUCAAACACCGAACCAUUUCAUCCACACAAUCCCAUCUCUCACCCCAUUUAUAUAACAAGAAUGCCAACUUCCAUUCUUUCCUUAAAGCAAACAUAGAGGAAAAAAUCAAAUAUUUAUUGGGUUUAACACCUCCCUUAUCAAGAAAAUCCAAUGCUUCAUCUCCAGAAUCAAAAUUCUUAGCUUUUUGGAUUAACUCAGUCAAUUCACUGAGACCCACUUGAGCAUUUUCACGGGUUUCUUUUACACACUCACGGAAGUUGAUGACAUCAUAGAUGUGUCGUUGGUCAGAACUACGGGAUGCCGAGGAAUGGAGGCUCUGUAGACUGGAGUGACCAGGGUUGAUAAGCGUUUGCUGAAAUGCCCCAAUGGAAUGAUGCGACGGAGAAGUAUCUGUACAGCAAGAUGAAAGUUUUUGAUGAGCUAGUGGGUUCAGGAGUUGAGCCAAGAAGAGUGAGGGAUUUGCUCUAUGGAGUCUUCUAACAUGGAUAAGUAGUCCUAUCAUUUUCAGAACUGAAGCAUGUUUUAGGACGAGAGAUCUAAAGGCAAUUUUUAGGAGAGCACACAAAAUGAUACAACCUACAUUUCCUCUUUUUGCCUGCAAAAUAGAUGCAGAUUAUUGCAUAUUGAGUCUUUCACCAACCAAAUUUAGACACAAAUACAUAUUUUCUUUUUGGCAAAGCAGAAAAAAAAAAAUUUUUUUGCCCAAAAUAUAUUUUUUUUAUGAAGGGAGAAAAAAAUAAAUCGGCCAAAAAAAUUUUCUGCUUUUCUUUUAUGAAGGAAGAAAAUAAUAAAGCAGUUGGAAAGUGUGAGAUCAAUGCCUUGGCGACAAAAAUAAUCUCCAAAAAGUGUCACGUGGCUAGAUCAAACAAGGUAAUAGUAUCCCCCGGAGCCAACACGUGCCGCCACCACUAAGCCCAGAUUGCCUCUAGAGUCUAGAGUCAAGGCUAUUCACUACACUAUUUCUUUCCUUCGUCGUAGGGUUUAAGGAUUUAAGCUCAAAAUCAAGAAACCAUAGAGUAAUAAAAUUGGGGGGAGGGUUUAAGGCUUUUCAGAUAAGAAGAAGAGAAAGAAAGAGACCGAGCUAAAGAUGGCUAGUGAAACUAACAAAACAAGUGGAAGCAAGAAGAUUGGAGGCGGCAAUGGUGGUUUCAGGGCUAAAUUGGAUCAUUACCUGUAUAGUGGGGAAAAGAAGCAUGUCAUCGCAGGAAUAGCCAUAAUUGGCGUCCUCUUUGGGGUUCCAUGGUACCUCAUGAACAAAGGUAUCAUCUUUUCACAUUUUUCCCAUUUGUUUCAAUACAAUUUCUCUCUGAUCCUUUUAAAUUUGAGGAUUUUACUUGGUGCAAGUUGUGGUUGGUUUUGGAAAGAUUACGUUUUUAUUAUCCAAUUGUAAAGAUUUUCGCGUCCCCAACUCCUUUUUGUGAAUUUAUUUGGUUACUAGAGAGGACUGUUGUUGUCGUCGUCUUUUCCUUCCCUUUCUUGUUUGUGGUCUCCCCUGUUUUGGAGACAAUUCAAGUGAUUAAGAUGGUUUUGAAAGUCGGGCAUUUGUUUUUUGAUUUAGUAUGUGUCAAUUAUUAGUUUACGGGAAAUAAAUUGUUUUUGGGUGGAAAUGUAGAAAUCCUUAGCUUUGGGAAGGUGAGAUUUUGCCUGAAAGAUCAGGCAUUAUUUUACUUAAUUCAAGGACAGAACAUGUUCUUAUGAUCAGUGGCCUGGGAGAAUGUUCUUAUGGUUCAGUUGAAUAAUAUGGCAUGAGAAAGCCAGUAUAGCAGUCAUUGGAUUCCGAAGUAUGACAAGCGAAAAAAGCUUGAACUUUCUCGGACUUCAGCAAGUUUUAACCAAAUGGAAAACGUAUCCAUUCUUGUUGCUACAGCAACCUCAACCCUCGUGCAGAAGUUCUUUUCCAGAGUGGUUACCCAUGCUACAAAGCAGACAACAAUGUGAUUGUAGUAGUAACUUCUGCUUCUCCCAGUCGAAGUUUUGAUUAAAUUGUAUGGAUUUCCCACAAGCUCUUUUCCAAGUUUAUCAGAUUUCUCUCUGGGAGACAUGCAUACAGAAUGCCUCCUCAAGGGUCUUAUCAUGUGGCAAUCUAUGUCUUUGAAUGUACUAAAAUGCAGUGAAUCUUGCGUGAAAGCUUUGUGGAUUAAAAUUGAGUUGAUCCUGAACCAUUGAGUAAUUGUGUAGCUGUUCCAAACAUUGUUUUUCAGGUUGAUUGCACCAGCGCCAUAAGACUUUUCUUUUAUUAGAUUGUGUAUCAGGUUGCUCUAUCCUCUCCCUAUUUGCCCAUGCAUAGAAAGAAAAAAUAAAUCUGCAUCUUGUCACUUGUCUUCCUUUAUCAGAUAUGCUAGGAUAGUUCUUGUUGGAAUUCUAUGUCUGUGCGUUUCUUUGUGUGAUCCAGAUGUAAUGGAGCUGAUAGUCCACUGGUCUAACAAGAUUGUAAUGAACAUGAUAGAUUUCAAACAUGUAAUUGUGGAUCUCUGUCUCAUUUAUCGUCAGUAAAUGUUGAGAAACUGGCACGAAAGCUGUAUCUCACGCUCUGCAUUGGUUGCUUUCUUUCACUUACUGAUCAAGCAUGGAAAACUGAAUUUUCUAUUGAUACCUGAUCUUAACAAAAUUUUUCCACUUUCAGGCUCAAAACAUCAAUCUCAUCAGGACUAUAUGGAAAGAGCUGAUAAAGCACGAAGUGAGAGACUUUCAAAAGGUUCAUCAGCAGCUUCAACAUCUUAGUGUGGGGAAAAGCUAGCUCGAUGAUUGUCUCUCAUUAUGGUUCAUUGGACUUGCUGUUUCCUUUAUACCACCCUGGUCCGUUCUAUUUUUUGUGCUCAACAGAGAGUAAUGGAAGCUUCAUUAGGAUGACAAUAUCUUUUUCAGAUGUUAUAAUGUUUGCUGCACCGUUGUUUAUAUGUGAAUUCUUAAGGCGUAGGUUCCCUUUUACAUUUGAUUUGACCAUCAUGUUCAAGAAGAGCAUUUCUAUUUCAAGAAAUUGGAAAGCAGGAAACUUCUGCAUUAACAAUGAAAAUCAGACGGUUGGGGAGUCAAUUGAUGUGCCUUAUUGUCAUCAGAAAUACGGCCAGGAUGCUGUUGGUUUAGAAUAUCACCAUCUCAUACUCUGCAUCCGGCAAAAGGAUGGAUUGAAGUUUGAAUGUAUCCCGAAAACCGAAAUUUGUUAUGGUUAGAAAUUCGCAGACGUGCAUAUUUUCUGCAUACCCGAUCUAUGUUUCUUCUUUUGGGAGCAUUCCAGUGCUUUUCGUUAUCACCAUGGCGUUGGUGGGCGUUACGCGGUUCAAAGUAUAUUGGUCGAAAAGUUAGAAAAGGGAAAGUAUGAAACAGAGCAGGGAGCAGGGCCUGUAAAAGAAUUGAGGCAGCUUGCUCUUUUGCCAUAUUUCUUGGCAUAGAUUAGAAAAACUGUUACAAAAAUUUGAUGCUAAAGGUUUGCAUGACUAGCAAUGCUCCUAAAUUUCCUUACAGCGGCAUCAGCCUUUUGUAUUUGAAAAACCACAAAAAUGAACAGAAUAUGAUAAUUCCACAGACUGCUGUAAUUAUGAGGACCCACUUGAACGCAUUUGGAUUAUCGAACAAUGGUACUGAAAAAUUCAUGCCAAAUAUUCCAGCUACCACACCAAAUAUGGCAACGACAAAUGUUGCUGUUGUAAGUAACAACUCAAAUUGUAUAAGCUGGUUUCGGACAUUAUCCUGCAGAAAGAAAUAAAAAUAGUUGUCACAACUGGCCAUGCUUAUUUAAGAGCUAACGUCCAGAAACAAUAACGAGUCAUGUGAAUUCACAAUAAACACUUUAUAACGCAGGACGUGUGAUUGACGAAAAAUCCUUGCAAUUGUUUACAUUGAUAGACACUUCGAUGUCCUACGUACGUGAUGCAAGUAAACAAAAAAUUCAAACUGGGUAAAGCAAUUAUGACUAAACCUCGGAAACUAUAUAUGUUUGACUUGCUGUGCAACGAUUAGCUUACAGUCAGAUAUCUCAAGCGUAUCCAAAGAAAAUAAUCGAUAAGUCAACUAUAAGCAUACAGUCAGAUAUAUCAAAAGUAUACAAACAAAACCAUCUACAUAAUUUUAACAAAGAUGACCUGUGGACCUGUGGUGUGUUCCAAGAAUAUAUAAUCAAUAUUGACUAAAAUGUUCAACUUCAACUUUAAAAACUUAAUAAAUUAAUGUUGACAGACCCUUUGAGCAGUGUGUCCACAGUUUUACCGUAUGAGUAAUAUUAGAGAUCAUAGAAGAGGUAUAGGUUCCAUAUCAAUCCAAGAUACAUGCAUAUCAGUGUGCAACCUGUAGCUAAAAGACUGCUCUCACAACUUAGCCAGAGAAAGGAAUGCAUACCAGCUGAAUGUUGAUGAAAUCUUCUGUGUCAUCAAUGUACUCCUUCAGCUGAAAUCAGACAGAGAAAGUUAUUCAUCAACCUUUUGCCUUAAACCAACAGACAAUAAAAAGCCAGCAUAGGUACUUUUGACAACAGAAUAUACCGAUGUCAACUUGUUCAAGGUGCUGUCAAUAACAACAAAAUAAGCUUCCAACAACAUUUCGAGCUCUUCUAUACUCUCAUUUGCACUUUCUGAACUCCUGACACUCUCAUGUCUGCUCCUUGCAAUACUUAAAGUUUUCUCCAGCUUUCUGGAAUCAGGAGGUGACACAACAGGCGAGACUGGAGCAGAAAUAGAUUGUACACCAUCACUUGACCGAUAUCCAAGAAGAGAUUGAUCACCAUAAAAGGAUGAUUCCAUUCGUCUUUUCUUCUCAGUAAGGUACAUUUCAGCCAUAUCUCCAUCAUCGUCCAUUAGCUGCUCUAUCUCAUCCCUAACCUAGAUGAACGGUGGUAUAAAAGAAAGACAGAGAAAACAUCAGAAAUGGGAAGAAUGGGUUUCAAUAAGAUAGCAAAAAUAUAAUAAGCACAAUACCUUCUGAACUCUCCGGGUCAAAGCAACAAGUCGGCUUUUUAAUCGACGAACACGCUCCAAGUUUAAGGUACUAAUCUUUGAUGUAAGCUCAUCCAGCAGUGGGUAUGCUUCAAUCUCCAAUUCUGCUGCCUGAAUAUAAUAAUCGAUUUUCCAACAGCUAAUUAUAACCAUAUACUGCUAAAGAAGGCAUGGAUAAAAUUUCCUAGCACUCUUCAUUAAGAGCUCAAUCAAUUCACGUUUCCAGCAAAGUCUUACUAUUAUGCAGUUUAACUAUUUGGUCAUGGUUUCUCUUACGCACCUGAGAAUCCAAAAAUGUGCAAGCAGCCUCCAGAGCAACUUCAAGAGCCCGAAACUCGAAGGGCAAAUAAUCUGGUGAAGUAUUUCCAAACAUAUUGUCAAAGCUCCUUCCCCUCCUGCUCGAAUCACUACCUUCUGUCUGCCAAACAUCACUGACUCCAGCAGCAUGCAGCCGCCGUUGCAGCUCCACCACAUACUGCACUACAUAGUUAUCUAGAGAGUUCAAAAGCAGCACCUCAUCUGCUGUUAUAAUACAUCGAAUCUGCUCCAGGUUUACAACUAUUGCCUUCUCUCUUCCAAGAAUUGUGGAUGGGUAAACAAAUAAUGGAUCUAACAGGCGCAAAUCACGGGCAGGAAGAUCACAACGACGCAUCAUACUGAAUUUGUCAACCUCAAUAACUUGCGAAUUCCCAGAGGAAUCGACGCGAAUCCAUGAACGAAGGCCUUGGCCACGCUUUUUGAGGCCUAGAACGUCAACACCUGGAAAUGGUGGACGGCCAGAUGCAGAGGGCCUAUACGAUACAUCUCGAAGAUUGGCAGCUGAUGCAGGUUUUGGGGGUAGAAGGCGUUCUUUAAGAUCAGCCAUUUUCUAAUUCUGAGAUGUGAGAGAAGAAACAGAAAUCAAACCAUUACUUUGCAUAAUGAAUGCAAAAACGAACAGAAGAAUGUCACAGCGUACAAAAUGCCAAAUAUUUCAUGAUUUCAAGUAAAACUCAUCCAUUCACUAUCUACCCCAUGCAUCAUGUAAGAAUUAGGGAACACUGGAUCUAUUUGGCAUUGCAUGAUGCUCCAGUGGAAGCAUUAUUACUGAAAAACUUCAUCACAUAACUAAGUACUUUCACUAAAAGUAAAAUGAUGUAUGGUUGAGCUGGAAUGAUGAAAUUCCUUCAGGAAAAAAGAAAAAAAAGUCAUGACAUCAUAUCUCUUGUUCAGCUUAUGAGGAAAAUAUACAUUUUAUUCCAAAGUAAGGACAAAAUGCUCGACUGCAGAUAUCAAUCACCUUUGAAUUGUCCUAACUCCAGCUAAAAAUUUUGCAUAGUUGUCAUUCAUCCAACGCUGACAGUGAACAUCUACUUUGAGUUUCAAAGAGAAGGUUCGAAAACAUAUUUAUUCUGACUCAGACGGAGAAAUACACUGGAGUAUCGAUGUGUAUCAUGCGCCCCAAUUUACAUAUUGUAAUGUGCAUCUAUUACCAAAAACAAGUCAUUUAUGGAUAUUAUUAGGAGGGCCGUGCAGAUCGAGUCUAGUCUCCCUUUCGCUUCACAAGGAUCAAGAUCAAAUAAACACGUAUUCUCUUUCUGUAAAGUGAAGAUAUACUUAUAAACUCUCAGUAACGAAUGAUCGGGUGAGGUACAAAUUCUUUAGUUCGGAUUUUUAUGGUAAAAAAAAAAAAAUAGGAUUCCUGAUUAUUUAGACCUUAAUAACAAAACCCUAUACUUUUCAUUACAAAACCAAUAAACCGGAAAAGGAUGGAUUAUUUUGUGAAAGAAUUUUUGGACCUAUUAAAAGUGAAAUUUUUGAACACACUGUCAGUCAGUGUAGGAAAUAUUAAUCCCUUUACUUUUCCAAUGCCUAAACGCAAAGAUGAUCAAAGGGCGUAGAAUAGCAAACUAAAAUUUGAAUCUCCCCUAUCUGAACUAAUUCAUUCAGCAGAGCUACAUUUUCAACAUGACACCAGCAACAAGGCAUCAACGAAAAUAACAUUCCCUUCACUGUUUAAAGGAAAUGCCAAAUCACAUUCCCAGAAUCCCAGAAAUCAAAAGAAAAAACCGAUAACCGAAAUAGAUGCUAUUUUCCAAUUGUCAAUCAUACUCUUUCCAACAAAACAGCUUCAACCCCCAUAGCCCUUCACUUUUUCUUUCCACAAUUCAAUUAUACGUAAUAAUAUGGACAGUUCAAAAUGAAAACAACACAGACAAAUAGAUUCAAUCACAACAUCCAUCUCAAAUGGGGACAAGUAAAUUAGAAAAACAGUGUAUUAUUGUCAGAAAUGCGAUCAAAUCCAAAAAUUCCUCCCAAAUCCGCGAAAGAGAAAUUCGAACAAACUCUGCCAACUUAGCUCAAUCAAUUGAAUUCACAGAAAGCUACGAACUCUGCAACAUACCUCCAGAAGAGGAAGAAGCUAGGGUUUGGGCCAAAAUGCCGCCGUAGCUUGCUCCACCGUAAUAUUACGUAAGACAAUUAUAAAAUUCCUUACACUGUUGCAUCGGCAACUCGAGAAACAAAAGAACCAAAAAAAAAAAAAUUCCCACCGGGACUCGUGGGCUUAUAUUAUCUGAAUCAUCAUUGUCGUCAGGAAAGGUACAAGAAUCUUGAUUGCCCACCUCGGAGAGAAAGGAAGGAACUUCUCAGUGAAACGACCUCGUAACUUGGCCCCUUUGAUUGACGUCAGCCUUUCAUAAAGCCGGAGCCACAACUUACCGAAGCAAUCAUAAGCUUGUUGUUGUUACUAUUAUACUCCCCUCCGUAAUACUUUGAUAAUUUUGUUUCUUUUUUCACACCGUUUAAAAAAAAGUAGUUCACUUUAUUGGAAAAGUAAAUUUAGAUUGCUAUUUUUCUAAAAUACCCUCAUAUUAAAUAUGGUAUAACUUUAUCGAAACUUGAAUUGAUGGAAAAAAAAAAAAGAAUCAACUCUCAUUAAAUAGGAUAGGUUUAUAGUAACAACUACUUACAUUGAAUAAGGGUAUUUUAGAAAAAAUAAAAUAUAACUACAUUCUUCAAUUGGGAAGCGGACUAUAAUUUGGGACAGAUGAAAAAGGAAUACAAGACUAUUAAAGUGGAACGGAGGGAGUAGUAGUUUUUCUUUUUGGAGACUAUUGUAGUAAUUAAUGUAUAACAAUGGAUUUUUUUUCCCCAUUUUCUUCGUAGUGAAGUGUUUUGGUGUCCGCUGUUUUCUACCGCUUUUUAUCCUAAAUUCAUUUCGUAAUUGAUAUAUGAUCAUUUUUUAAAAGAAAAACGGUUAGAUCCCUUUGGUAGUUAAACAAAUGAUUUGGUCCAUAUUCAUUAAACAAAAAUUCCUACUUGUAGGCUUUAGCUUUUGAUUUUCAUUGAAUCUGGUGGUUUAGAUUUCAUUUUUCCUUCCUUUUCCACUUGUUGAUUAUUGUAUUACGACAACAGGACGAAUUAUUAUAUCCUUAACCUUCCGUCGGGACUAACUCCACGCAAACUCAAGAGUUGGUUUUUAAUCAAUUCUUUAUCUCUAAGUGAAUAAACGAGGGGUCACACAUGCCAAGUCACAAUGGUUGAUGAUAAAACUCACGGGGCUCACGAUCUUCCUCAAAGUAUUUUGAUUGGUUAAAAAAUAUCAAUUUCUAACCUUGUCAGGUAAUUAAUCUGGAUCAAGAUAAAACUUCUCGUCGCCAACAAAUAAUAGCCACAUUUAUCGACUUAGCUCCUCCUUAGAUCAUCUUCUUACUAUUACUACCAUUUAUGGUUUUUUUCCUCCUCCUUCAGUCCUUCUCUUCAUCUUUUCCUUUUUUCCUUUUUCUUUUUGAUUCAUGGAUAACGAAUCAAACUUUUCAAUCCAAAUUACCCAGUAACUACUCCUUACUACAUCACCUUCAAAUGGCAAGGAGUAGACAAUUCAGAGUUCAAUCUGCCCAAAAGGGCAAGAACCCUGCAGAAAACAACACGACUUCAACCGUCUACGAGUUCAUUGACCUCGAAAGCGUUCACCGGCAACCACGACUUCUCCCAAUCGGGGGCGUACCCCGGGCCAAGGGGCUUGUUGGUUGCUGGAGCAUCACAUUAUUGAUCACUGACGUUCUUGAAAUCACGUACCUAUUCUCCAAAAAAAAAAAAAUCACGUACCUCACAGAUUACCUGCCUCUCCGAUUGUGACGUCCCCACUAUUGAUUAUUGAGAUGGCCGCCCCACCAAUCAUAUGAGAGCUGAUUUGCAAUUCUCCAUCCUGGAAUCCUCUUCUCCUUCAUGAUGUUACAGUAACUGCAUAUUACAAGUUAAUGACUUUCGUGAUCCAUUUUCUUUUCCAAGUUACAUUUUAAACGGGAACGGGAGAACAGUGAAAAGAGAGCAAGAACAGGGCAAUCUUGUGAUCCUAAUGGUCGAAUCUUCUUGAUACUUCAAUCUGUUAUUUUUGAAUGAACAAUUUAAAUCAGUGUCUUCUGAUUAACCACUCCUUUUAUCUUUAACUUCAAGAUUGAUGGGCUCAAUUUCAUUACUAGCAUCUGCUUCAAGAUUAAAGCAGCUUUUAGAUUCAGCAGCAUCACUCCCAAGUCCCAUUCUGUCAAUCCCAUCGCUUCGAGCUAGUAUUACUGGGCAAACCAAUUUCCUGUUUUGAAAAAAAAGAAAAUUUCCUUGAUUACUCCCCUGCACCUGCAGGCCCCUGAUUGCCCUUUGAUGUUCCAUCUAUAUUAAGCUUCCGGAUGUUAGGCUCAGGAGGAAUUAAUUCAGUACUAAGCUUGGAGUUUAGCGAUGAAAUCAUAGGAAGGAGUAAUUAGAAACCAAGUUCCUGGCAUUUGAAAGUGGUGAGGGGUGAGCUCAGGGACGCGGGGCUGGAGCCAUUGUCAGAACAAUCGCUCCGGAAGGUGUAACAUCAUUUGUACAUGAUAUAACAUCAUCUGUAUAAGGUGUAACAAUAAUACAACAGCGAAUAACAUUAGAACAACAUUUUUAUGGAUCCCACACGACGUGAAAAUCGAGUUACAAGACGUGAUCUGAGCCACACAAAUUUUUGAGGCCUCAUCCAGGCCACGGUUGCCUCUGGCGACCGUCCAGGCCCCUCGUCGUGAGCUCAGUGCUUUGACAGGCCCAAUAUAGAUUUUUUCCUAUGAUUCCAUAAUGCCCCAGAGGCAGAAGGAAACAAAUGUACUCAGGGCCAAGGAACCAAGUUGGGACAGAUAGCAUAAGAACAGUACAGAAGCGAAAGUGAAAUCUUUAAGCUUUGAGCAAAUUUUCAGUUCAUUGAUAGAUGAGCACAUGCAGUGCAUUGAAUUCACAUCAAGAAAAGGCUCCGACAUGAUACAACUAAUUAGAAGUACCCCCAGAAUAUUUACAUAAAUCCGACAAUUUGUACAUCAACCUCAACCAUCUUCAUCUGUUUCUUAGGUUGAAGAUGUGGGUUUUUUUUUUACGGCCCUGUACUGUUUAAACAACCAAGCAAUAAGAUUU
rnacentral:lncRNA from 1 species